GGACCCAUAACUCAGUUGGUUAGAGUAGCGGUCUCAUAAACCGAAGGUCCCCGGUUCAAGCCCGGGUGGGUCCA
rnacentral:tRNA from 1 species